GCUUUUGGAAAAUGAAGUACUGAUCAGAUGUCUUGAUGUGGGAGAUGACCACAGCAGCUCUGCAGCAGUGAGCAGCUCUAACUCCUGGAGUGCAUAAAUGUUAAAUGUUGUUUGUUGGCCUUCUGAUGUACAAAUCUAUUCCUUGGACUUCUGUGGAACACAGCAGCAAGAAGGGCAAUCCUGUGAUUUCUGGGACCCAGUGGGAAGCCUCUACUUGAGGGAGGUCCACAUCAUAGUCCAAUUGGAACUAACAUCUGGCUAAGUUAGUGUGACAGAUUGGUUUUUAAUCC